rnacentral:rRNA from 1 species
GAUGAACGCUGGCGGCGUGCCUAAUACAUGCAAGUCGAGCGGACAGACGCAAAACUUUUUGCUCUGAUGUUAGCGGCGAACGGUUGAGUCACGCGUGGAUACCCUACCUAUCAGACUGAGAUAACUUCUAGAAACCCGAGCUCAUACCGGCUAAUAUAUUUAACCGCAUGGUUCAAAAGUGAAAGACGGCCUUGCUGUCACUUAUAGAUGGAUCCGCGAUGCAUUCGCUAGUUGGUAAGGUACCGGCUUACCAAGGCAACGAUGCAUAACCGACCUGAGAGGGAGAUCGGCUACACGGGAACUGAGAGACGGCCCAGACAACUACGGGAGGCAGCAGUAGGGAAUCUUCCGCAAUGGGCGAAAGGCUGACGGAGCAACGGCGCGUGAGUGAUGAAGGUCUUCGGAUCGUAAAACUUUGCUAUUAGGGAAGAACAAAUGUGUAAGUAACUGGGCAAGUCUGGACGGUACCGAAUGAGAAAGCCACGGCUAACUACGUG